rnacentral:rRNA from 1 species
UACGUAGGGUGCGAGCGUUGUCCGGAAUUAUUGGGCGUAAAGGGCUCGUAGGCGGUUUGUCGCGUCGGGAGUGAAAUCAUCUGGCUUAACUGGGGUGCUUGCUUUCGAUACGGGCAGACUAGAGGUAUGCAGGGGAGAACGGAAUUCCUGGUGUAGCGGUGAAAUGCGCAGGAUAUCAGGAGGAACACCGGUGGCGAAGGCGGUUCUCUGGGCAUGACCUGACGCUGAGGAGCGAAAGCGUGGGGAGCGAACAGG